UCAAUUAGGCCUGCUCCAUAUUCGUCCUUGAAGAAUUCGCGUUUCUGGCAAUCUUCACAGGUUAGUGAUCCUAAAAAAUUUAAAAUCUUUCCGGUAUGCAGCCUCAACCUUUUUGGACCUACUCUCACCUGUCAUAAUUGAGCCUGGAAUGCAGUAAGAUAUGACGAAUUAGUAAACAAAAAAAAUUGGGUAAUCCAAAGAAAAGAUUUCAAAUUUUUAAGUAUAGUUAAGUUGAGAAUGCCGAAAACAAGUUUCUGCUUUUUUUCCUCUGAGUUCACAUCAAUCUUCUCCCUCAUGAAAGACACACAUAACAAUCAUAAUCAAGAAGUAAUGAACAAGUUGAGAUAUUUCAAUGGAUUAUCACAGAUUAUUCCUACAUAUGAACAGCUGCGAAUAUAGAACUGAAAUGUCCAAUAGUAAAACAUGGUAUACCUGCAAGUUUCUAACGCUUUGUCCCUCCAAGGAAUCACACAUCCACAAGCUUCCAUGUAUUCAAGAAUGUGCUGAUGUAGUAAUGAUUACUAGGAUGUGCUUAGCUUCACUCUAGAAAAAUUUUGACAAGCCAAAAAAAGAGCUGAUGCAGAUUUUGCAUAUGGAGCAUGCCAAAUUAAUGCUUCCAAUGCCGUGAACCUGGUUUAGUGUAUGAUGCUACUGAAAUGAAAUUGACUACAUAAGAUUUUUAUGCGGUUAGGGCUAUAAUUCAAUGCUUCUACAACUCAUAACAGGGGAUAAUAGCAAGGGAUCUAAACUACCCUUCAUUUGCUCUCCAAGCCUCACACUCAGAUUCCAAUGUAUUUGAUAGUUUCAAGAGGACUGUCACAAAUGUUUGAUCCCCGAUGUCCACAUAUAAAGCUAUUGUGAGUUGUGACUGCUCCUCAAGGACUUAAAAUCAAAGUGAAGCCAAAUGUUUUGUCAUUCAAUUCUCUUGGCCAAAAGAAAACAUUUGUGCUCACUAUUGAUAUGGAGCAAUAAGAGAAUAUGUUGCUUCAGCUUCUUUGGUUUACAUUGGGAUGAUGGUAAAUUUCAAGUGACUGAUAAUAAUGAAGAAGCUACUAAAGAUGAGAAAGGGCUAAGAUGUAGUUUGGUUGCAAGCAUUUAGUCUAGCGAUCUUUCCUCACUGGAUCGUGGAUGUUAACAAAUGAAUAGAAAGCCAUAUAUAUAGAGGCUUGUGAAUACACUAAUUAGGAAUCUCACUGAUUGUUAGGUGUAACUAAUUUCUAAAUACACUAACUAGGAAUCUCACUGAUUGUUAGGUGUAACUAAUUUCUGAAUCUCACUAACUAGGUGUAACUCAUUGAUUAAGUGUAACUAAUUUCUGUCACAAUUAAUCAACCUCUCUAACAAAUUAUGUUAAUCCUAAUAGAUGUAGCCUUGUAAUUGUAGAGUCUAUGUUAAGGUGUCUAAAGUGAAAGUAUCUUUAAUUUUUAUUUCUUUCUCCCUGGCUUCUGUCACAUAAAGACAUAAAUAAACUAUGAUAAGGUUAUGUUUGAUUCUCUAUGAUUUUUGAGAUUUAGACAGGGUUUGAAUUGAGUUUUCUUUUUUUAAAAUAUCUCUAAUAUUGUCAAAAGUCUAUAGAAUACACCUUAAAAUCCAAAUAAAACAAAAAAUUUGAAGACUAACUUAUUCAAAAUAAAGAACAGCAUUAAUAAAUUUUAAAAACUGAUAAGUUGAACAAAAGUCAAUGAUAUAUGUGCAAUUUUAUAACACGCACAUUUUAGAAUGUUCUCAUGGUCCACUAAGAUUUUACCUCAUAUUCAAGUUUAGCAGAAAUUCAAACACACACACACACCUCUGCACUUGAUUGAGGGCAUGAAUCAUCCAUGAUCUUGAUGAUAUUGUCUUUUUUCAAUCAAAAUUCAAAACAUGAUUUAAAUUGAUAAAGUAGUUUUAAAAAGAAAAAGGGAGGACCCCGUUUCUGCCCUUUUUUUUCAUUGGCAUAUGAUUCAUGGAAUCAAUCAUACAAAACAAAAUUUGUGUGUAUUUCUUGUCACAAGGCCACUGGCACUUGCGUUUCUCAAUUUAUAUGCCUUAACCUUUAGCUGCAUUAGAGCAAAAUUACAAGGUAGAUGGGCUAGACAGCUUUGCUUUUUGUGAAAUAAAUAACUUGCUGGUUUUACUUUUACAUUAACAGUUGGAAAACACUAGGGCACAAAUUAUUAACUUAACAGAAUUUGUAAUUUGAAUAAAACUACUCAGUGUGAUUAAAGAACUUUGAGCAGUUAUUAGUUCACAAACUGUUAUACACUGAUUAUUCUUGAAUUUCAAAUUUUCCUCCCUUUCAAUUCUGUAAUCAAGGCUAACAAUCAUGUAAAUUAUAAACUACUUCUAGCUUUCAGUACUGAAUCACGAUUCUCAAUAUUUUCGAUGCAGAAUCAAAUACAGGCUUCUAAAUUGAGAGGAGAAGUGAUUCUAGAGAAGCUACUCCUAUUAGCUUUUUGGGGAAGGAGUGAUUCUGAAAAAACUAAAUAUGCCUCAAAACAUGCUGCGAAAAUUUAAUCACUCUCUGGAAGCUUAGCAGAUAAGUAGCUCCAUUUCGCUAUGCUAUGCAUUGGAUUUCAAAUUUAUGGGAGCAAUUUGCUUGUUCUUCCUUUAGGCUAGAAAUGUCAUAGCCAUAUAAAUCAUAUGGUAUGUUGUUGAGUUGAAGGAGCACCAGGAAAAAAUACAGAAAAGAAAAUAGGAAGCAGAACACACUAAUUUAUUUAAUUAAUCUUGUGGAAUUUAUAGAAAAAGAAAACAGGUAUAAAGUUGAUGAAUUCAAAGGCAACCUAAUUGCUUAACUUGUCAAAAGCUUAAAAGACAUGGACCACUUUGCUGUGUACCUAAACUGACAUUACUUAACUUGCAUAAAAA
rnacentral:lncRNA from 1 species